AGACCCGAAACCCGGUGAUCUAGCCAUGGGCAGGUUGAAGGUUGGGUAACACUAACUGGAGGACCGAACCGACUAAUGUUGAAAAAUUAGCGGAUGACCUGUGGCUGGGGGUGAAAGGCCAAUCAAACCGGGAGAUAGCUGGUUCUCCCCGAAAGCUAUUUAGGUAGCGCCUCGUGAAUUCAUCUCCGGGGGUAGAGCACUGUUUCGGCUAGGGGGCCAUCCCGGCUUACCAACCCGAUGCAAACUGCGAAUACCGGAGAAUGUUAUCACGGGAGACACACGGCGGGUGCUAACGUCCGUCGUGAAGAGGGAAACAACCCAGACCGCCAGCUAAGGUCCCAAAGUCAUGGUUAAGUGGGAAACGAUGUGGGAAGGCCCAGACAGCCAGGAUGUUGGCUUAGAAGCAGCCAUCAUUUAAAGAAAGCGUAAUAGCUCACUGGUCGAGUCGGCCUGCGCGGAAGAUGUAACGGGGCUAAACCAUGCACCGAAGCUGCGGCAGCGAACGUAUCACCCAAGACAACUUUACGGAGUUGACGAUUGACGGAGCGAAGCGACGUCAAAGCGUUCAUUAAAGUCGAGUUGGCUUAGGGAUACGUUCGUUGGGUAGGGGAGCGUUCUGUAAGCCUGUGAAGGUGUGUCGUGAGGCAUGCUGGAGGUAUCAGAAGUGCGAAUGCUGACAUAAGUAACGAUAAAGCGGGUGAAAAGCCCGCUCGCCGGAAGACCAAGGGUUCCUGUCCAACGUUAAUCGGGGCAGGGUGAGUCGACCCCUAAGGCGAGGCCGAAAGGCGUAGUCGAUGGGAAACGGGUUAAUAUUCCCGUACUUGGUGUUACUGCGAAGGGGGGACGGAGAAGGCUAUGUUGGCCGGGCGACGGUUGUCCCGGUUUAAGCGUGUAGGUGUGUGUUCCAGGUAAAUCCGGUUCACUUUAACACUGAGGCGUGACGACGAGGCACUACGGUGCUGAAGCAACAAAUGCCCUGCUUCCAGGAAAAGCCUCUAAGCAUCAGGUAACAUCAAAUCGUACCCCAAACCGACACAGGUGGUCAGGUAGAGAAUACCAAGGCGCUUGAGAGAACUCGGGUGAAGGAACUAGGCAAAAUGGUGCCGUAACU
rnacentral:rRNA from 2 species